GACGAACGCUGGCGGCGUGCCUAAUACAUGCAAGUCGAGCGCAGGAAACUGACGGAACUCUUCGGAGGGAAGGCAGCGGAAUGAGCGGCGGACGGGUGAGUAACACGUAAGGAACCUGCCUCAAGGAUUGGGAUAACUCCGAGAAAUCGGAGCUAAUACCGGAUAGUUCAACGGACCGCAUGGUCCGCUGAUGAAAGGCGCUUCGGCGUCACCUUGAGAUGGCCUUGCGGUGCAUUAGCUUGUUGGUGGGGUAACGGCCCACCAAGGCGACGAUGCAUAGCCGACCUGAGAGGGUGAUCGGCCACACUGGGACUGAGACGCGGCCCAGACUCCUACGGGAGGCAGCAGUAGGGAAUCUUCCACAAUGGACGAAAGUCUGAUGGAGCAACGCCGCGUGAGUGAUGAAGGUUUUCGGAUCGUAAUACUCUGUUGUAAGGGAAGAACACGUACGAGAGGAAAUGCUCGUACCCUGACGGUACCUUACGAGAAAGCCACGGCUAACUACGUGCCAGCCGCCGCCGUAAAAC
rnacentral:rRNA from 1 species